rnacentral:sRNA from 20 species
CUUCAAGGAAUGGAGCAAACGGCGGAGCAGGGAUACUUUGGCCGGUUUCAUCUACUCCGCCUCUAAGUCCAAAUCAACAGGAUGUCGGUUUCUUUGAGGCUUUAGCACGAAUUUCUCGUCCUCCUUGUUAAAUUUUUGUUAAAUUCACAAUAUUAUAUACCAUUAGCCCGGGCGCUGUUCUUCCCAUUUCUGAAUUUAUAAAAGUAAAUUGGCACCAACUGCCUUUUUCUCAAUUCCCAUAUCAAACAAAAAAACGCACCUGCCCUUUGGCCUGUGCAUUUUUAU